CCAGGCAGGGCCAAUCAGGUUCUCUCCCGUCACAAGCCGGAAGACAAUACGGCCGGUCUGUUGGCGGCCUUUCUGCUGCAGUGCGGGCAGAGCCUGCGUGAGAAUGAAGCCAACCUGGAGGAAUGGGGAGCGGAGAGAGGGAGGCCGAUAGAAAGGGGGUACUCUGGGCCCCUCAAGGACGGCCCCACGCUUCGGACGUCCCAGUCGUGGAAGCGCAUGCACCCCUGUGUGGGGUUCCGUCAUUGCUCCCGGGCUCUGUGCUGAGCUCAUCAGGUGCAUCGUGACUAAUGAGUCUCACGACCGCCCUAAGGGGUAGAUAUUCGGCUGUUUCCUGCUUUCGGACAAGAAGAGACCCAGACUGAGACUGAGACCACCCUGAGGGUGGUUCCCGAGCGGGGAGCCCAGCCUCGGGCUGUGGACAUUUGUAAACCCUGCCUCCCCGGCCGGGCCCCCUGCUGCCCAGCAGAGGCAUGCAGGUGUUUGUUGAGGGCUCGUCCUGGCCGUUGGGAGUUGAGUUCAGCUUCCCUUCCUUCUCUGGAAUUUGUGUGUGGGCACUGGAUGUGCCCGAGCCUGCCUGAGCCCUUUGCCUCCUGUCCCUGGGCAUUUGCAGAGCAGAGCCCCUCUGCCGCGGUACUUCGUGGUGGGACUGGACGUCCCGCAGCCAAGCCUUGGACGCUCCAGCAAGAUUGCAUUUACAGACACUUAAAAACAUUCCCUGAAUGAUCUCUGUGAACUUUCCAGAGUUUGAAGUGGGCUGGACCACCUUAAAGUCAGCUCAGACAGAAAACCUUUUGUACGGAGCCUUUGGAUUUCUUGUUCCCCUUUAGAAGCGAUGUUCUUGUUUGAUGGGAACAGAGACAGUCCUGUAACACCCAGGUCAAGCUGUUCUUUGGGAAAUUUUAAAAGAGGCUGGAGGUGUGUUCUGAAGAAAGCAAAUAAGUCCAGAUCCUUGUCCCCAUGUGGUAAACUCUGAGCAGUUUGGAGAAGAUCAGAAACUCCUACGUUUGUUCCUUGGCCCAGGAGAGAUCAAAGCCACAGCUGGCAAAGGUGAUCUCAUCUCCAAAAACAUCCCUCAGAAAAUUGGGGUGGGCUUGCUCGGUCAGCGGGGGCCAGGUGGGGGCUGGGCAACCCACUUUCCUCUGCUUCCAUCCAGCCAUGCCGCCCCCUCGCCUCUUAGUUCAGUGAGGUCUAGGGAGGGCCAGGGAGGCAGAGCUGGCCCACGUGGAGAUUGUAGAAGGCCAGGUGCCUGGUGGGGGAGGGGCGUGGGCUGCUCUCUGGCGGACAGUGCAAGUCGUUGUCCCUCGGCUGUUUUCUCCUUUUCUCAAGGCCCUGUGUCUGUGUCCAAAGGCAGGCAGCUCGCCUACUGCUGAGGGUCAGAGGGAGCCUACCCUGAACGAGCCCCUUCUCUUGGCCUCUCUCUUCCUUCCAUCACUUGCCUGGGUGUGAUGAGUUCACAGGCCAGUGUUUGUGUCCUGAGAGAGCUGGCAGCCAAGGGCUGUGGUUUCUACAGAGGAUCAAGAUUUCUGGGGCAGACAGCCGUGGGCCUCGACCCCUGCCUUUGGGGUCCCCACAGCAGACACUGAGCCGAGGACAUGAGUGUGAAUGAUUGAUGGGGAAGCAAACCGUAGAAAGUGUCACAGAGAAGGGGAUGCGACAGGCCUGGGAAGGCUGUAGGGUUGAGGUUGAGUCCCCUGGGGCGUCUGGAGCUUGUGAGGUGCAGAUCCUGGCCCAGCAGGUCAGGGGCAGCGUGAAUUCCUCAUCUCUAGCAAACUCCCAGCUGAAGCAAAUGCUGCUGGUCCACAGUCCACACAGGAGAACACAUUUCUGAGCUCCACCAGCUGAAGGGGUUGACUUGUGUCCCCCAAAAGAUAUGAAGUCCUAACCCGAUAUCUGUCAGUGUGAUCGUAUUGGAAAUAGAGUCUUCGCCAAUGAAAUCAGGUUGAGACUAGGACAUAGUGGGUUUGAGUGGACCCUAAUCUAAUGACUAGGGUCACUAAAAAAGAAGAAAAGAGACAGAGGGACGAGGGAAGAAGGCCAUGUGGAGACAGUGCAGAGGUUGGAGCAGAGAUUGGAACACCUGGAGCUAUGGGAAGCUGAAGAGGCAGGAGGGAUCCCCCCCCCACGGAGCCUGCAGAGAGCGUGGUCCUGCCCACACCUUGAUUUCAGACUCCUGGCCUCCAGAAGGUGAAAGAAUAGAUUUCUGCUAUUUAAACACCCCCAGUUUGUGGGACUUUGUUACAGCCGAUCCAGGAGCCGAAUACAGCAGCCAGGGGGUGAGGGAGCCGGUCCCAGGGGCCUCAGCGUUCCAGCACUUCCAGCCUGACCUGAGGAUUGGCAGAGGGAGCAGGUGCACGCACGGUUGGCUCCCUGGAAGCAGUCAGUGCCGAGGCAAGUCACUUUCGAGUCUGUGUGUCCUACCGUACCUGAUGGAAACAAAUCCUGGGGGCCCUUAGCACACCGCCAGAGAGGCCGUCUGGGGAAGAGCCCACAGGAUCAUCCUGUGCUGAUGCCCUGCCGUCCAGGCCCCACCGUUCCCGGGUCGUGGGCAUGUCCUACACAGGCUACACAGCAGUCGUCUGGGUCCCCAAGCAGGGCCCGGGAGCCGGCCCUGGGGAACCCGUCGUGUGUCUGUCAUGCUUCGGGUACUGUCCUGUGCUUCCGCAUUUGGACGUCUUCUGGUCCGCUCCCCUGACCUGCUGCACAGCUUUGGCCUCAGUUUCCCCAACUGUGAAUGAGAAGCCACCCAAGAUGCCCCCGAGGGCUUUCCUUGCUGGGCAAAGAUUCCCCACUUGAGCCAGACAGCGCUCUGUGACCAGCCAGCCGCUCACGAGCUGUGAUGCAGUGAGUGCCGUUCUCUGCCAAGGACGGUGAGAUAUUUAUUUGAUAAUGGGCCUCCUUUUCUCCCCGCUGCAUCUGGCAAUAAUGACGGAGCACCUGGGAG